rnacentral:rRNA from 1 species
AGACCCGAAACCCGGUGAUCUAGCCAUGGGCAGGUUGAAGGUUGGGUAACACUAACUGGAGGACCGAACCGACUAAUGUUGAAAAAUUAGCGGAUGACCUGUGGCUGGGGGUGAAAGGCCAAUCAAACCGGGAGAUAGCUGGUUCUCCCCGAAAGCUAUUUAGGUAGCGCCUCGUGAAUUCAUCUCCGGGGGUAGAGCACUGUUUCGGCUAGGGGGCCAUCCCGGCUUACCAACCCGAUGCAAACUGCGAAUACCGGAGAAUGUUAUCACGGGAGACACACGGCGGGUGCUAACGUCCGUCGUGAAGAGGGAAACAACCCAGACCGCCAGCUAAGGUCCCAAAGUCAUGGUUAAGUGGGAAACGAUGUGGGAAGGCCCAGACAGCCAGGAUGUUGGCUUAGAAGCAGCCAUCAUUUAAAGAAAGCGUAAUAGCUCACUGGUCGAGUCGGCCUGCGCGGAAGAUGUAACGGGGCUAAACCAUGCACCGAAGCUGCGGCAGCGAACGUAUCACCCAAGACAACUUUACGGAGUUGACGAUUGACGGAGCGAAGCGACGUCAAAGCGUUCAUUAAAGUCGAGUUGGCUUAGGGAUACGUUCGUUGGGUAGGGGAGCGUUCUGUAAGCCUGUGAAGGUGUGUCGUGAGGCAUGCUGGAGGUAUCAGAAGUGCGAAUGCUGACAUAAGUAACGAUAAAGCGGGUGAAAAGCCCGCUCGCCGGAAGACCAAGGGUUCCUGUCCAACGUUAAUCGGGGCAGGGUGAGUCGACCCCUAAGGCGAGGCCGAAAGGCGUAGUCGAUGGGAAACGGGUUAAUAUUCCCGUACUUGGUGUUACUGCGAAGGGGGGACGGAGAAGGCUAUGUUGGCCGGGCGACGGUUGUCCCGGUUUAAGCGUGUAGGUGUGUGUUCCAGGUAAAUCCGGUUCACUUUAACACUGAGGCGUGACGACGAGGCACUACGGUGCUGAAGCAACAAAUGCCCUGCUUCCAGGAAAAGCCUCUAAG